GUUGUAUGGUUAAGUGAAUAAGCGUAUACGGUGGAUGCCUUGGCAAUUGGAGGCGAUGAAGGACGUGUUAAUCUGCGAUAAGUCUGGUUAAGGUGAUAAAAACCGUUAUAAACCAGAAUUUCCGAAUGGGGAAACCCACCCUUUUUAGGGUAUCGUAUAGUGAAUACAUAGCUAUACGAAGCGAACCCGGAGAACUGAAACAUCUAAGUACCCGGAGGAAAAGAAAUCAACCGAGAUUUCCUAAGUAGCGGCGAGCGAACGGGAAACAGCCGAAUCAGCAUGGUUUAGUGGAAUGCUCUGGAAAGUGCAACGAUAGUGGGUGAUAGUCCCGUACACGACAAGCCAUGUUGGACAUAUUAAGUAGGUCGGAGCACGAGAAACUUUGACUGAAGAUAGGGGGACCAUCCUCUAAGGCUAAAUACUCCCAAUUGACCGAUAGUGAACCAGUACCGUGAGGGAAAGGCGAAAGAACCCCUGUGAGGGGAGUGAAAUAGAACCUGAAACCGUAUACGUACAAGCAGUAGGAGCAGACUUGUUCUGUGACUGCGUACCUUUUGUAUAAUGGGUCAACGACUUAUAUUUUGUAGCAAGGUUAACCGAAUAGGGGAGCCGUAGGGAAACCGAGUCUUAACUGGGCGAAUAAGUUGCAAGGUAUAGACCCGAAACCCGGUGAUCUAGCCAUGGGCAGGUUGAAGGUUGAGUAACAUCAACUGGAGGACCGAACCCACUAACGUUGAAAAGUUAGGGGAUGACCUGUGGCUAGGAGUGAAAGGCUAAUCAAACCGGGAGAUAGCUGGUUCUCCCCGAAAUCUAUUUAGGUAGAGCCUCGGACGAAUACUUACGGGGGUAGAGCACUGUUUGGGCUAGGGGGCCAUCCCGGCUUACCAACCCCAUGCAAACUCCGAAUACCGUAAAGUAAUAUCCGGGAGACACACGGCGGGUGCUAACGUUCGUCGUGGAGAGGGAAACAACCCAGACCGCCAGCUAAGGUCCCAAAGUUUAUGCUAAGUGGGAAACGAUGUGGGAAGGCUUAGACAGCUAGGAGGUUGGCUUAGAAGCAGCCACCCUUUAAAGAAAGCGUAAUAGCUCACUAGUCGAGUCGGCCUGCGCGGAAGAUGUAACGGGGCUAAGCAUAACACCGAAGCUGCGGUAGCGAAUUUAUUCGCUAGGUAGGGGAGCGUUCUGUAAGUGGUUGAAGGUGGAUUGAGAAGUCUGCUGGACAUAUCAGAAGUGCGAAUGUUGACAUGAGUAACGAUAAUGGGGGUGAAAAACCCCCACGCCGAAAGACCAAGGGUUUCCUAUCCCAUGCUAAUCAGGGUAGGGUAAGUCGGCCCCUAAGGCGAGGCAGAAAUGCGUAGUCGAUGGGAAACAGAUUAAUAUUCUGUACUUUUAAUCAUUGCGAUGGGGGGACGGAGAAGGCUAGGGAGCACGGCGAUGGUUGCCGUGUGAAAGUGUGUAGGAGGCUGCUUAGGUAAAUCCGGGCGGCUAAUACUGAGACACGAGGACGAGUCACUAAGGUGAUGAAGUCAUUGAUGCCAUACUUCAGGAAAAGCCUCUAAGCUUCAGAUGUUAAGAACGUACCCCAACCGACACAGGUGGUCAGGUAGAGAAUACUAAGGCGCUUGAGAGAACUCGGGUGAAGGAACUAGGCAAAAUGGUUACCGUAAUUCGGAGAAGGUACGCCCACGUUAGGUGAAGGCACUUGCUGCCGGAGCUGAAGUGGGUCGCAGUGACCUGGUGGCUGCAACUGUUUAUUAAAAACACAGCACUGUGCUAAAUCGAAAGAUGACGUAUACGGUGUGACACCUGCCCGGUUGCCGGAAGGUUAAUUGAUUGGGUUAUCUUCGGAGAAGCUCAUGAUCGAGGCCCGGUCAAACGGCGGCCGUAACUAUAACGGUCCUAAGGUAGCGAAAUUCCUUGUCGGGUAAGUUCCGACCUGCACGAAUGGUGUAAUGAUGGCACCUGUCUCCACCCGAGACUCAGUGAAAUUGAAAUCGCAGUGAAGAUGCUGUGUACCCGCGGCUAGACGGAAAGACCCCGUGAACCUUUACUACAGCUGACACUGAACAUGAACCUACAUGUGUAGGAUAGUGGGGGCUAUGAAACUUGGACGCCAGUUCAGGUGGAGCCAUCCUUGAAAUACCACCCUUGUAUGUUUGAUGUUCUAACAUGGCCCCUCUCGGGGUUGUGGAAGUGUCUGGUGGGAGUUUGACUGGGGCGGUCUCCUCCCAAAGAGUAACGGAGGAGCACGAAGGUUUGCUAAGUACGGUCGGACAUCGUACGGUUAGUGUAAUGGUAGAAGCAAGCUUAACUGCGAGACGGACAUGUCGAGCAGGUACGAAAGUAGGUCAUAGUGAUCCGGUGGCUCUGUAUGGAAGGGCCAUCGCUCAACGGAUAAAAGGUACUCGGGGAUAACAGGCUGUACCGCCCAAGAGUUCAUAUCGACGGCGGUGUUUGGCACCUCGAUGUCGCUCAUCACAUCCUGGGGCUGAAGUCGGUCCCAAGGUAUGGCUGUUCGCCAUUUAAAGUGGUACGAGCUGGGUUUAGAACGUCGUGAGACAGUUCGGUCCCUAUCUGCCGUGGGCGUUGGAUGAUUGAGAGGGGCUGCUCCUAGUACGAGAGGACCGGAGUGGACGACCGCUGGUGUUCGGGUUGUCAUGCCAAUGGCAUGCCGGUAGCUACGUUCGGAAUCGAUAACCGCUGUGAAAGCAUCUAGCGGAAGCGAGCCUCGAGAUGAGUCAUCCCUGACAGUUAACUGUCCUAAGGGUCGUUGAAGACUACAACGUUGAUAGGUAAGUGUGGAGUGCUGUGAGGCAUUAAGCUAACUUAUACUAAUUGCCCGUGAGGCUUAACCAUACAACGCUUA
rnacentral:rRNA from 1 species